GAACGCUGGCGGCGGCCUAACACAUGCAAGUCGAACGGUAACAUUUCUAGCUUGCUAGAAGAUGACGAGUGGCGGACGGGUGAGUAAUGCUUGGGAACUUGCCUUUGCGAGGGGGAUAACAGUUGGAAACGACUGCUAAUACCGCAUAAUGUCUUCGGACCAAACGGGGCUUCGGCUCCGGCGCAAAGAGAGGCCCAAGUGAGAUUAGCUAGUUGGUAAGGUAACGGCUUACCAAGGCGACGAUCUCUAGCUGUUCUGAGAGGAAGAUCAGCCACACUGGGACUGAGACACGGCCCAGACUCCUACGGGAGGCAGCAGUGGGGAAUAUUGCACAAUGGGGGAAACCCUGAUGCAGCCAUGCCGCGUGUGUGAAGAAGGCCUUCGGGUUGUAAAGCACUUUCAGUUGUGAGGAAAAGUUAGUAGUUAAUACCUGCUAGCCGUGACGUUAACAACAGAAGAAGCACCGACUAACUCCGUGCCAGCAGCCGCGGUAAUACGGAGGGUGCGAGCGUUAAUCGGAAUUACUGGGCGUAAAGCGCACGCAGGCGGUUUGUUAAGCUAGAUGUGAAAGCCCCGGGCUCAACC
rnacentral:rRNA from 1 species